GAUGAACGCUAGCUACAGGCUUAACACAUGCAAGUCGAGGGGCAUCAGGAAGAAAGCUUGCUUUCUUUGCUGGCGACCGGCGCACGGGUGAGUAACACGUAUCCAACCUGCCCUUUACUCGGGGAUAGCCUUUCGAAAGAAAGAUUAAUACCCGAUAGCAUAAUGAUUCCGCAUGGUUUCAUUAUUAAAGGAUUCCGGUAAAGGAUGGGGAUGCGUUCCAUUAGGUUGUUGGUGGGGUAACGGCCCACCAAGCCUUCGAUGGAUAGGGGUUCUGAGAGGAAGGUCCCCCACAUUGGAACUGAGACACGGUCCAAACUCCUACGGGAGGCAGCAGUGAGGAAUAUUGGUCAAUGGGCGCUAGCCUGAACCAGCCAAGUAGCGUGAAGGAUGAAGGCUCUAUGGGUCGUAAACUUCUUUUAUAUAAGAAUAAAGUGCAGUAUGUAUACUGUUUUGUAUGUAUUAUAUGAAUAAGGAUCGGCUAACUCCGUGCCAGCAGCCGCGGUAAUACGGAGGAUCCGAGCGUUAUCCGGAUUUAUUGGGUUUAAAGGGAGCGUAGGUGGACUGGUAAGUCAGUUGUGAAAGUUUGCGGCUCAACCGUAAAAUUGCAGUUGAUACUGUCAGUCUUGAGUACAGUAGAGGUGGGCGGAAUUCGUGGUGUAGCGGUGAAAUGCUUAGAUAUCACGAAGAACUCCGAUUGCGAAGGCAGCUCACUGGACUGCAACUGACACUGAUGCUCGAAAGUGUGGGUAUCAAACAGGAUUAGAUACCCUGGUAGUCCACACAGUAAACGAUGAAUACUCGCUGUUUGCGAUAUACAGUAAGCGGCCAAGCGAAAGCAUUAAGUAUUCCACCUGGGGAGUACGCCGGCAACGGUGAAACUCAAAGGAAUUGACGGGGGCCCGCACAAGCGGAGGAACAUGUGGUUUAAUUCGAUGAUACGCGAGGAACCUUACCCGGGCUUAAAUUGCAGUGGAAUGAUGUGGAAACAUGUCAGUGAGCAAUCACCGCUGUGAAGGUGCUGCAUGGUUGUCGUCAGCUCGUGCCGUGAGGUGUCGGCUUAAGUGCCAUAACGAGCGCAACCCUUAUCUUCAGUUACUAACAGGUCAUGCUGAGGACUCUGGAGAGACUGCCGUCGUAAGAUGUGAGGAAGGUGGGGAUGACGUCAAAUCAGCACGGCCCUUACGUCCGGGGCUACACACGUGUUACAAUGGGGGGUACAGAAGGCAGCUAGCGGGUGACCGUAUGCUAAUCCCAAAAGCCUCUCUCAGUUCGGAUCGAAGUCUGCAACCCGACUUCGUGAAGCUGGAUUCGCUAGUAAUCGCGCAUCAGCCACGGCGCGGUGAAUACGUUCCCGGGCCU
rnacentral:rRNA from 1 species